rnacentral:rRNA from 1 species
CAGUAGCCGCGGUAAUACAGAGGGUGCGAGCGUUAGUCGGAUUUACUGGGCGUAAAGCGUGCGUAGGCGGCUUCUUAAGUCGGAUGUGAAAUCCCUGAGCUUAACUUAGGAAUUGCAUUCGAUACUGGGAAGCUAGAGUAUGGGAGAGGAUGGUAGAAUUCCAGGUGUAGCGGUGAAAUGCGUAGAGAUCUGGAGGAAUACCGAUGGCGAAGGCAGCCAUCUGGCCUAAUACUGACGCUGAGGUACGAAAGCAUGGGGAGCAAACAGGAUUAGAUACCCUCGUAGUCCCUGUCUCUUAUAC